AUUUAUAUAGUUUAAGAAAAACAUAGCAUUUUCAUUGCUAAAUUGGAUCCUUUCCUUUAAAUA
rnacentral:tRNA from 1 species